CAUCCUGAUGAUCUCAUGUAUUUCGCUGUGUUCUUCCUGAAUUCCCAUGUCGAACAUACAUCACCUUGGAGAACUGAAUU
rfam:Cladophialophora psammophila CBS 110553 aczJe-supercont1.7, whole genome shotgun sequence.